rnacentral:lncRNA from 1 species
AACAAAUACAGAAUUUAUCACGUUCAUACCCAAAAAACACUCACUACCAAAAAUAUGAUGUAAGCUCACUCACGUAUUAUAUGAUGAAUUCCAAGUGUGACUUGAAAGAACCAAAGAACUUUUUGUUACAAUCAUAUUACUUACUAUCAAGAUCUAAAGGUCUUCUCAACCCAAUAUCCAUAGCUCUAAUGGCCGACCAAACGGACAACCAAUUGGACAUUCGAUCUAUUUUUCUUAAUUUUUAUACAUAUUCGUACCGAAGUAGACCAAGUGGUGACAAAUUUCUUUUGUUGAACCCCAC